CCUACGGGUGGCAGCAGUGGGGGAUAUUGGACAAUGGGGGAAACCCUGAACCAGCGACGUAGCGUGAGUGAAGAAGUAUUUCGGUAUGGAAAGCUUCAUCAGCAGGGAAGAAAGAAAUGACGGUACUUGAGUAAGAAGCUUCGGCUAAGUACGUGCCAGCAGUCGCGGUAAUACGUAGGAGGCAAGCGUGAUCCGGAUUUAUUGGGUGUAAAGGGAGCGUAGACGGGAAUGGAAGUCUGGAGUGAAAGGCUGCGGCUCAACCCUCGGACUGCUCUGGAAACUGAGUGACUUGAGUGCAGGAGAGGCAGGCGGAAUUCCUGGUGUAGCGGUGAAAUGCGUAGAUAUUACGAAGAACUCCGAUUGCGAAGGCAGCCUGCUAGACUGUAACUGACAUUGAUGCUCGAAAGUGUGGGUAGCAAACAGGAUUAGAUACCCGUGUAGUC
rnacentral:rRNA from 1 species